rnacentral:rRNA from 1 species
GACGAACGCUGGCGGCGUGCUUAACACAUGCAAGUCGAACGGAAAGGCCCUGCUUUUGUGGGGUGCUCGAGUGGCGAACGGGUGAGUAACACGUGAGUAACCUGCCCUUGACUUUGGGAUAACUUCAGGAAACUGGGGCUAAUACCGGAUAGGAGCUCCUGCUGCAUGGUGGGGGUUGGAAAGUUUCGGCGGCUGGGGAUGGACUCGCGGCUUCUCAGCUUGUUGGUGGGGUAGUGGCUUACCAAGGCUUUGACGGGUAGCCGGCCUGAGAGGGUGACCGGCCACAUUGGGACUGAGAGACGGCCCAGACGCCUACGGGAGGCAGCAGUGGGGAAUAUUGCACAAUGGGCGGAAGCCUGAUGCAGCAACGCCGCGUGCGGGAUGACGGCCUUCGGGUGGUAAACCGCUUUCGCCGGUGACGAGGCUUGAGCGACGGUAAUGGGUAAAGAAGCACCGGCUAACUACGU